GCUCCUGUGGUGUAAUGGAAGCAUCUGGCUCUCGCAGGCCUAGGAUCUGGGUUCGAUUCCUAGCUGGAGCG